UUCUGCUCAGACUAAUGACUCUCUCCCUUUCUCCAUUGCAGCUAUAAAAACUCCAACACUGAGUAAAGCUACAGGUGAUUUACGAGUAAUUGUUGGUGUAAUCCUGCCAUUGCUGGCCAUAGCUGCUGUUGGUCUGAUUUACUGGAAAUACAGGAACUCUAAACGAAAUGAACCAAAGCGUAAAAACAGAGAAAGGGCCAGAGAGACAUGCGAAGAUGCGAAAUUCAGAGACGGACUGAUGCCGGAUGAGAAGAUUGGAUCAUCAGAAAUGAUUGAUUAUAGAUUAUCAAUCGUCAAAAGUGGAGAAACAUAAUUCAAGAGAUUCUGUGUCUUUGGUUCCAGUGUAGCAAGAAUAAUUUGGUCAGAAGAGAUAAACAUGCCUUGAUGUUGAUACUUCCAACAGCUUUAUU